GCCAAUGUGGCAUAACGGUUUGAAUGUUGGACUAUAACUCUGGAAACCAGGGUUCAAUUCCCUGCUUGGCCA